rnacentral:rRNA from 1 species
GACCUACGGGAGGCAGCAGUGGGGAAUAUUGCACAAUGGAGGAAACUCUGAUGCAGCGAUGCCGCGUGAGGGAAGAAGGUUUUCGGAUUGUAAACCUCUGUCUUAAGGGACGAUAAUGACGGUACCUUAGGAGGAAGCUCCGGCUAACUACGUGCCAGCAGCCGCGGUAAUACGUAGGUGGCAAGCGUUGUCCGGAUUUAUUGGGCGUAAAGCGAGUGCAGGCGGUUCAAUAAGUCU